rnacentral:rRNA from 1 species
CUCUAUACGGAGUUACAAAGGACGACAUUAGACGAAUCAUCUGGAAAGAUGAAUCAAAGAAGGUAAUAAUCCUGUAGUCGAAAAUGUUGUCUCUCUUGAGUGGAUCCUGAGUACGACGGAGCACGUGAAAUUCCGUCGGAAUCUGGGAGGACCAUCUCCUAAGGCUAAAUACUCUCUAGUGACCGAUAGUGAACCAGUACCGUGAGGGAAAGGUGAAAAGCACCCCGGAAGGGGAGUGAAAUAGAACCUGAAACCGUGUGCUUACAAGUAGUCAGAGCCCGUUAAUGGGUGAUGGCGUGCCUUUUGUAGAAUGAACCGGCGAGUUACGAUUUGAUGCAAGGUUAAGCAGUAAAUGUGGAGCCGUAGCGAAAGCGAGUCUGAAUAGGGCGUUUAGUAUUUGGUCGUAGACCCGAAACCAGGUGAUCUACCCUUGGUCAGGUUGAAGUUCAGGUAACACUGAAUGGAGGACCGAACCGACUUACGUUGAAAAGUGAGCGGAUGAACUGAGGGUAGCGGAGAAAUUCCAAUCGAACCUGGAGAUAGCUGGUUCUCUCCGAAAUAGCUUUAGGGCUAGCCUCAAGUGAUGAUUAUUGGAGGUAGAGCACUGUUUGGACGAGGGGCCCCUCUCGGGUUACCGAAUUCAGACAAACUCCGAAUGCCAAUUAAUUUAACUUGGGAGUCAGAACAUGGGUGAUAAGGUCCGUGUUCGAAAGGGAAACAGCCCAGACCACCAGCUAAGGUCCCAAAAUAUAUGUUAAGUGGAAAAGGAUGUGGCGUUGCCCAGACAACUAGGAUGUUGGCUUAGAAGC